rnacentral:rRNA from 1 species
AGAGUUUGAUCAUGGCUCAGGAUGAACGCUGGCGGCGUGCCUAACACAUGCAAGUCGAACGAGAAGCUAACUUCUGAUUCCUUCGGGAUGAUGAGCUUAGCAGAAAGUGGCGAACGGGUGAGUAACGCGUGGGUAAUCUACCCUGUAAGUGGGGGAUAACCCUCCGAAAGGAGGGCUAAUACCGCAUAAUAUCUUCUUCUCUAAAAGAGAUAAAGAUUAAAGAUGGCCUCUAUACUAUGCUAUUGCUUCAGGAUGAGCCCGCGUCCUAUUAGUUAGUUGGUGGGGUAAUGGCCUACCAAGACUACAAUGGGUAGCCGGUCUGAGAGGAUGUACGGCCACACUGGGACUGAGAUACGGCCCAGACUCCUACGGGAGGCAGCAGUGGGGAAUAUUGCGCAAUGGGGGAAACCCUGACGCAGCGACGCCGCGUGGAUGAUGAAGGCCUUUGGGUUGUAAAAUCCUGUUCUGGGGGAAGAAAGCUUAAGGGUCCAAUAAACCCUUAAGCCUGACGGUACCCCAAGAGAAAGCUCCGGCUAAUUAUGUGCCAGCAGCCGCGGUAAUACAUAAGGAGCAAGCGUUAUCCGGAAUUAUUGGGCGUAAAGAGCUCGUAGGCGGUCUUAAAAGUCAGGUGUGAAAUUAUCAGGCUCAACCUGAUAAGGUCAUCUGAAACUUUAAGACUUGAGGAUAGAAGAGGAAAGUGGAAUUCCC